CCUACGGGAUGCAGCAGUGGGGAAUAUUGCACAAUGGGGGAAACCCUGAUGCAGCGACGCCGCGUGAGUGAAGAAGUAAUUCGUUAUGUAAAGCUCCAUCAGCAGGGAAGUAAAUGACGGUACCUGAGAAAGAAGCCCCGGCUAACUACGUGCCAGCAGCCGCGGUAAUAAGUCGGGGGCAAGCGUUAUCCGGAUUUACUGGGUGUAAAGGGAGCGUAGACGGCAGUGCAAGUCUGGAGUGAAAGGCGGGGGCUCAACCAUAGGACUGCUCUGGAAACUGUACGGCUGGAGUGCAGGUGAGGUAAGUGGAAUUCCUAGUGUAGCGGUGACAUGCGUAGAUAUUAGGAGGAACCCCAGUGGCGAAGGCGGCUUACUGGACUGUAACUGACGUUGAGGCUCGAAAGCGUGGGGAGCAAACAGGAUUAGAUACCCUUGUAGUC
rnacentral:rRNA from 1 species